rnacentral:rRNA from 1 species
GGAAUUUUCCGCAAUGGGCGAAAGCCUGACGGAGCAAUGCCGCGUGAGUGAUGAAGGCCUUAGGGUUGUAAAGCUCUUUUACCCGGGAUGAUAAUGACAGUACCGGGAGAAUAAGCUCCGGCUAACUCCGUGCCAGCAGCCGCGGUAAUACGGAGGGAGCUAGCGUUAUUCGGAAUUACUGGGCGUAAAGCGCACGUAGGCGGCUUUGUAAGUAAGAGGUGAAAGCCCAGAGCUCAACUCUGGAAUUGCCUUUUAGACUGCAUCGCUUGAAUCAUGGAGAGGUCAGUGGAAUUCCGAGUGUAGAGGUGAAAUUCGUAGAUAUUCGGAAGAACACCAGUGGCGAAGGCGGCUGACUGGACAUGUAUUGACGCAGGGGUGCGAAAGCGUGGGGAGCAAACAGGAUUAGAUACCCCUG